rnacentral:rRNA from 1 species
GACGAACCGAGCGAACGUUAUUCGGAAUCACUGGGCUUAAAGGGUGCGUAGGCGGGCCCGUCAGUCAGGGGUGAAAUCCCACGGCCCAACCGUGGAAGUGCCUCUGAUACUGCGGGCCUGGAGGGGGAUAGGGGCGUGCGGAACUUCCGGUGAGCGGUGAAAUGCGUAGAUAUCGGAAGGAACACCAGUGGCGAAGGCGACUCUUUGGUCUGUAACUGACGCUGAGGCGCGAAAGCGUGGGGAGCAAACAGG